rnacentral:rRNA from 1 species
UUGAACGCUGGCGGCAGGCCUAACACAUGCAAGUCGAACGGUAACAGGAAACAGCUUGCUGUUUCGCUGACGAGUGGCGGACGGGUGAGUAAUGUCUGGGAAACUGCCUGAUGGAGGGGGAUAACUACUGGAAACGGUAGCUAAUACCGCAUAACGUCGCAAGACCAAAGAGGGGGACCUUCGGGCCUCUUGCCAUCGGAUGUGCCCAGAUGGGAUUAGCUAGUAGGUGGGGUAACGGCUCACCUAGGCGACGAUCCCUAGCUGGUCUGAGAGGAUGACCAGCAACACUGGAACUGAGACACGGUCCAGACUCCUACGGGAGGCAGCAGUGGGGAAUAUUGCACAAUGGGCGCAAGCCUGAUGCAGCCAUGCCGCGUGUAUGAAGAAGGCCUUCGGGUUGUAAAGUACUUUCAGCGGGGAGGGAGGGAGUAAAGUUAAUACCUUUGCUCAUUGACGUUACCCGCAGAAGAAGCACCGGCUAACUCCGUG